UAGGGAGAGAAAUGGCGCAAUGUAAGGCACAAGGAUGAAUUGCCAUGAUUGGGAUGUAUUAUUGUGACUAAUGUAGAGCCGAUCCGAUUGGAUGUUUGUUGGACUAAGAAGAAGUAGUAAGAUUUUUGAGGAGUGCAUAGGCAUUGGUCUUUGCGCAUUUCACAAAAUUUACCACUAAUUGGCGUUGUGCUAGUGGAGGUUAGGAUUAAGGAGAAGUGGAUGGCAGAAAAGGAGAAGAUGGCAAAUAUGGUGUCUGAGAAAGCAAGGAUAGAGACCGAUUGGAAGAAACGGCAACAGCGACUACA
rnacentral:lncRNA from 1 species